UCUAACCGUCCAGCAACAGGUAGGGACAUUUCUUCCGUAAUUUAACAUGUGUCGGAUACUUGCUCCACCAAUGUAAGCUGUUAUAAUAGGGUUUCAGAAAGCGGCGGUCAGAGAGACAUAUCCGACAAGGCAGCGGCUUUAGUACGAUUUUUGUUGUUGUUGUUUUUCGCGCACCGCACCGCACCGCACCGCAUGCAGGCUCUGUUUUGUCCCACUUCAUUUAAAGUCCGCAAUACGCGGAGACUAAAGCGUGUGUCCGUCCCAUUGAUGAGAAAACAAACAGCAUGUCAUCUCCAGACAAGACAACCCAAAGGAAUGAAGUCCUGAAUAACAUACGGAGAUCCUCGAUGGUGGCGGGACAUGGGAGAAAACAGACGGAGUUUGAGAUGUCACAAGCCGCGUCAGCCUCACAACCUGGAGCGCAUAUUUCUAACAACAGGUUUCUGUGUGACGCCGAGGGCAUCACCAUUCACACAACUGUCACUCGACCGUCGGUGUCUCACCUACCCGGGCUCAAUCUGAACCCCCGGAUGUCCGUAUACAGCACAACUCGUCAAGUUUUCAGCCGUGCUUACAUUCAAGGACGCGCUUAUAACUUUCUGGAAAGACCAUCUGGGUGGAAAUGCUUCGUGUAUCACUUCUCGGUGUUCCUCAUCGUGCUCGCCUGUCUAAUCCUCAGUGUGCUCUCUACUAUAGGGCAGUACCAGGCUCUGGCACAUGGCACUCUCUUCUGGGUGGAGAUAGCGCUGGUGGUGUUAUUUGGUGUGGAAUAUGGUGUGCGGCUGUGGUCGGCAGGGUGCCGUAGUAAAUAUGUUGGCGUCUGGGGCCGGCUGCGCUUUGCCAGGAAGCCUAUCUCCAUCAUCGAUUUGAUUGUAGUGGUGGCCUCCAUCAUCGUACUGGUAGCUGGCUCCAAUGGACAGGUGUUUGCCACGUCUGCUGUCAGAGGGAUUCGCUUCCUGCAGAUCCUACGUAUGCUUCAUGUGGACCGGCAGGGAGGAACGUGGCGUCUGCUGGGCUCUGUGGUCUUCAUCCACAGGCAGGAGCUCAUCACCACGCUGUACAUUGGUUUCCUGGGGCUCAUCUUCUCCUCCUACUUUGUGUACCUGGCAGAGAAGGAUGCUGUGGACAGCAAUGGAGCCAAUGAGUUCGGGAGCUACGCUGACGCCUUGUGGUGGGGGGUGGUGACCGUCACAACUAUAGGCUAUGGAGACAAGGUGCCUCAGACGUGGAUCGGUAAAACCAUUGCAUCGUGUUUCUCAGUCUUUGCCAUCUCCUUCUUCGCCCUACCAGCUGGGAUCCUGGGUUCGGGCUUUGCACUGAAGGUUCAACAGAAACAGAGACAGAAGCACUUCAACAGACAGAUCCCUGCAGCUGCCAUUCUCAUCCAGACUUCGUGGAGGGUCUUUGCUGUGGAGAACCCUGACUCGGCCACCUUCAAGAUGUUUGUGAGGAGGAGACCUGCUCUGCUCAGCUCCUCUGUAUCCAGUCCCAAGCCCAAGAAAACGGUGAAGCUGAGGAGGAAGUUGAAGAGCAGUGAGAAGGACGACGGGCCUGGUUCUCCCACUGUUCCCAGUAUCUCCUACGACUCAGUGUUCAAUAGUGGGAGGGAGCUCAGCUCUGAUGUCUAUAGCACUGUGUGUACAGCUGAAGCACUAGGAUGUGGUGAGCUCCUAUACCCAGCAGUCCUGGACCUCUCUUUCCUCCCUUACGUUCAGCUCUCCACUCCCAGUGAAAAAGACCCCUGGUUUGUUGGAGGUGCAGCACCCUCGUCCCCUCCAGAGGAACAGCAGCUUUGGGGACGAUCUGGACCAGGAGGACCAGUGUGUUCUGACCCCAGUCACCCACGUGUCACAGUCAGUCUGUUUCCCUUUCAGUCUGUCGUCUAUCACCCACAUGUCACAGUCAGUCUGUUUCUCUUUCAGUCUGUCGUCUAUCACCCACGUGUCACAGUCAGUUUGUUUCUCUUUCAGUCUGUCGUCUAUCACCCACGUGUCACAGUCAGUCUGUUUUCUCUUUCAGUCUGUCGUCUGUUUCCCGUUCAGUCUGUCGUCUAUCACCCACGUGUUACAGUCUGUCUGUUUCCCUUUCAGUCUGUCGUCUAUCACCCACGUGUCACAGUCAGUCUGUUUACUGUUUCCCUUUCAGUCUGUCGUCUAUCACCCACGUGUCACAGUCAGUUUGUUUCUCUUUCAGUCUGUCGUCUAUCACCCACGUGUCACAGUCAGUCUGUUUUCUCUUUCAGUCUGUCGUCUGUUUCCCGUUCAGUCUGUCGUCUAUCACCCACGUGUUACAGUCUGUCUGUUUCCCUUUCAGUCUGUCGUCUAUCACCCACGUGUCACAGUCAGUCUGUUUCCCUUUCAGUCUGUCAUCUAUCACCCACGUGUCACAGUCAGUCUGUUUCCCUUUCAGUCUGUCGUCUAUCACCCACGUGUCACAGUCAGUCUGUUUCCCUUUCAGUCUGUCGUCUAUCACCCACGUGUCACAGUGAGUCUGUUUCCCUUUCAGUCUGUCGUCUAUCACCCACGUGUCACAGUGAGUCUGUUUCCCUUUCAGUCUGUCGUCUGUUUCCCUUUCACUCUGUCGUCUAUCACCCACGUGUCACAGUGAGACAAUGACAUCAUCAUUAGCCGGGUCUCUGAUUGGUUCCUUCAUAACGACAUUGUUAUAACCCUGCUCUCUAAGUGGUCUAUUCAUAAUGACGUCAUCAUAUCCCUGCUCUCGGAUUGGUCCCUUCAUAAUGACAUUGUUAUAACCCUGCUAUGUGAUUGUGCCUUUCGUAAUGACAUCAUUAUAACCCUGCUUUCUGAUUGGUCCCAUCAUUAUGACAUCAUUACAGUGAGUCUGUUUCCCUUUCAGUCUGUGCUCUAUUUCCAGCCUGAGCCUCAUUUACCGUAACAGCGGUUGAGCCUCAGUUACCCUAACAGCAGUUGAGCCUCAGUUACCCUAACAGCGGUUGAGCCUCAGUUACCCUAACAGCGUUUGAGCCUCAGUUACCCUAACAGCGGUUGAGCCUCAGUUACCCUAACAGCGGUUGAGCCUCAGUUACCCUAACAGCGGUUGAGCCUCAGUUACCGUAACAGCGGUUGAGCCUCAGUUACCGUAACAGCGGUUGAGCAUCAGUUACCCUAACAGCAGUUGAGCCUCAGUUACCCUAACAGCGGUUGAGCCUCAGUUACCGUAACAGCGGUUGGGCCUCAGUUACCGUAACAGCGGUUGGGCCUCAGUUACCGUAACAGCGGUUGGGCCUCAGUUACCGUGACAGCUGUUGAGCCUCAGUUACCCUAACAGCUGUUGAGCCUCAGUUACCGUGACAGCUGUUGAGCCUCAGUUACCCUGACAGCGGUUGAGCCUCAGUUACCCUAACAGCGGUUGAGCCUCAGUUACCCUAACAGCGGUUGAGCCUCAGUUACCGUAACAGCGGUUGAGCCUCAGUUACCGUAACAGCGGUUGAGCAUCAGUUACCCUAACAGCAGUUGAGCCUCAGUUACCCUAACAGCGGUUGAGCCUCAGUUACCGUAACAGCGGUUGGGCCUCAGUUACCGUAACAGCGGUUGGGCCUCAGUUACCGUAACAGCGGUUGGGCCUCAGUUACCGUGACAGCUGUUGAGCCUCAGUUACCCUAACAGCUGUUGAGCCUCAGUUACCGUGACAGCUGUUGAGCCUCAGUUACCCUGACAGCUGUUGAGCCUCAGUUACCGUGACAGCGGUUGAGCCUCAGUUACCCUAACAGCUGUUGAGCCUCAGUUACCCUAACAGCUGUUGAGCCUCAGUUACCCUAACAGCUGUUGAGCCUCAGUUACCCUAACAGCUGUUGAGCCUCAGUUACCCUAACAGCGGUUGAGCCUCAGUUACCCUAACAGCUGUUGAGCCUCAGUUACCCUAACAGCUGUUGAGCCUCAGUUACCGUAACAGCGGUUGCAACUCUCUUGAUGAUGACUAACCUUGUCUGAUACCUGAAGACUUAGCUCCCUGAGGACACACACAGAUAGACACAAAGACGCAUGCGCACACACACUCACAAACACACACAAACGCACUUGCAUAGUAUGCGUAUCAUGGGCAUGGUGAAAGCCACUGUGAUAUCGACCUCUGUGAGAAAAGUGUUGUAAAUGAGGCUGAGUUCCUGAAGGAUCCAUACUAAACAGUAGGGUAAUGGGUCAGGCUGGCUAUUGCAUGCAGGGACAUCAUUAACUGGGACCCUCUCUCUGCCCCAUUGCCUGCUAAACCCCUUGAAACCAGCACGGCCCCAUUGAACAAUGCUCCUUAAUUAAACAAGCAGGGACCACUGUGUUCCCGAGUGAUGCAGCGAUCUAAACCAGUCCCUGGUUCAAAUCCAGGCAGUAUCAUAUCUGGCUGUGAUUGGGAGUCCCAUAGGGCGGUGCACAAUUUGUAAUUUUUUAAAAUGUUAUUUCACCUUUAUUUAACCAGGUAGGCUAGUUGAGAACAAGUUCUCAUUUGCAACUGCGACCUGGCCAAGAUAAAGCAAAGCAGUUUGACACAUACAAAAACACAGAUUUACACAUGGAAUAAACAAACAUACAGUCAAUAAUACAGUAGAAAAAGUCUAUAUACAGUGAGUGCAAAUGAGGUAAGAUAAGGGAGGUAAGGCAAUAAAUAGGCCAUGUUGGCGAAGUAAUUACAAUAUAGCAAUUAAACACUGGAAUGGUAGAUGUGCAGAAGAUGGAUGUGCAAGUAGAGAUACUGGGGUGCAAAGGAGCAGGAUAAAUAAAUAAAUACAGUAUGGGGAUGAGGUAGAUUGGAUGGGAUAUUGACAGAUGAGCUAUGUACAGGUGCAGUGAUCUGUGAGCUGCUCUGACAGCUGGUGCUUAAAGCUAGUGAGUCUAGUGAGUCUCCAGCUUCAGAGAUUGUUGCAGUUUGUUCCAGUCAUUGGCAGCAGAGAAAUGGAGGCGGCCAAAGGAAGAAUUGGCUUUGGGGUUGACCAGAGAGCUAUACCUGCUGGAGCGAGUGCUACGGGUGGGUGCUGCUAUGGUGACCAGUGAGCUGAGAUAAGUCAGGGCUUUACCUAGCAGAGACUUGUAGAUGACCUGGAGCCAGUGGGUUUGGUGAUGAGUAUGAAGCGAGGGCCAGCCAACGAGAUCAUACAGGUCGCAGUGGUGGGUAGUAUAUGAGGCUUUGGUGACAAAACGGAUGGCACUGUGAUAGACUGCAUCCAAUUUAUUGAGUAGAGUAUUGGAGGCUAUUUUGUAAAUUACAUCGCCGAAGUCGAGGAUCAGUAGGAUGGUCAGUUUUACGAGGGUAUGUUUGGCAGCAUGAGUGAAGGAUGCUUUGUUGCGAAAUAGGAAGCCAAUUCUAGAUUUAAUUUUGGUUUGGAGAUGUUUAAUGUGAGUCUGGAAGGAGAGUUUACAGUCUAACCAGACACCUAGGUAUUUGUAGUUGUCCACAUAUUCUAAGUCAGAACCGUGCAGUGUAGUGAUGCUAGACGGGCGGGCAGGUGCAGGCAGCGAUCGGUUGAAGAGCAUGCAUUUAGUUUUACUUGCAAUUGGCCCAGCAUCAUCCAGGUUUGGCCGUGGUAGGCCGUCAUUGUAAAUAAUAAUUUGUUUUUAACUGACUGGCAUAGUUAAAUAAAGGUUAAAUGUACAAAAUUGUUUAAAAAAAAUAUAAUCACUUUCUAGACAUAUUAGACUGGUGUAUCAUUCACUAACAUGGCUGCCAUAAUCAGCACACUGUGUAACUAUGAGGAUCUAUGACAUCAGGUCCUCUAGUGAUCUCUGUGUGUUAUAGGCUAAUGAUUUUACACUGAUAGGCUACUGUCAGGUACAGUAAGGUAUAUCAUUGGUUUAUUGGGGCCUGUGACUCCAACAAUGGGUGUCUACUAGCUACUGGCUAUAGAUAGAUGCAGGCUUAUUAUGGGCAGAUUUUGCUCAGAUGACACAGCAGUUAUUUGACAUUUGUAAAACGUUCCUGGAUCUUCCUACUGGCCUUUAAUGUUUCUUGCAAUUGUUUUGAUGAGUUAACAUGUGGUGUAUUUUGACCAACAAGAUAAGGUUCCUGUUUAUCUUAUCCUGAUUGCAGUGGUGGGCAGUCGAGGAGGUAGCUCUUUUCUUUCCUGUCAGGGGAGGGCACUGGGGAGGAAUGAUUGGCAGGCAGCUACUGUUCAGCUCCCUGGUAGAUAACAGCCAAGAUGACUCCACAAUCUAUAGCACAAUGAUAGCAGGGGAGGGGGUGGCCAUUUUGUGCUAGUGCUGCUGUUUGUAGUUUGGUUUAGACUCCCCUCGGUCAUUAACAGCUACUAGUAUGAAGAUAGAGUAGCACCUAUAGACGUUCAUAACGUGUCAAAUCAAAGAUGUUAACUCAUCUGGGUUGUUUUUGGCUUAAAGAAAGUAGGAGGAGUCAACGUUGCUUGCCAGAGGUCCUCAUCUAGCAUUGUGACAUCACAGUGUCAGCUGCUCUGAGAUCAGAGAGAGAGGGAGUGGCUGUUUAGACCAGGGUGUUGACACCAGUAAUGACAUGACCUUUUCCUGUCACUUUCAGCUCCUUUCAUACGCCUGCCUUGUUGUUGUCCCCAACAAACAAACAAACAGAAAGACAGACAGACAGACACAGUCCAGACCCACACUACCAAGGUCAUUUCUCCUCUUGUCACCCAAGUGUCACUUUGGUGAAAGAGGGGGAGAGAUGGAGAGAGAGAAGGCAGGAUUACAUCCAUGGGUGUUUGUCUAGGCUAGGGGGAAAGUUAGUGCAUGGUCUUCUAGGUUUAGGCUUGGUGUGUAUGGUUGUGUAGGGGUGGUAAGAUUACUGCUAGAGUGCAGGGACGAUAGAUUGAAAUAGACUAUUAGUUGCCUACCCAGUCACACCCCCACCCUUUCAAUUCCUCUUCCUCUAUGGUGGAUGUCCCCAGUUCCCUUUCUCAGUCCUCCCCAGAUCAGAGUGGUGUGCUGCUGGCUCCCUCACUGUUCUAUCAGGGUGAUGAGACAAGAACGACUACAGGUUCUAUCGGGGUGAUGCGACCAGAACGACUACCAGUUCUAUUGGGGUGAUGAGGCCUGACCGACUACCGGUUCUAUCAGGGUGAUGAGGCCUGACAGAGUACAGGUUCUACCAGGGUGAUGAGACCAGACAGACUACAGGUUUUAUCGGGGUGAUGCGACCAGACAGACUACCGGUUCUACCAGGGUGAUGAGACCAGACAGACUACAGGUUCUACCAGGGUGAUGAGACCAGACACACUACAGGUUCUACCAGGGUGAUGAGACCAGACAGACUACAGGUUUUAUCAGGGUGAUGCGACCAGACAGAGUACAGGUUCUAUCGGGGUGAUGCGACCAGACAGACUACAGGUUCUACCAGGGUGAUGAGACCAGACAGACUACAGGUUCUAUCUGGGUGAUGAGACCAGACAGACUACAGGUUCUAUCGGGGUGAUGAGACCAGACAGACUACAGGUUCUACCAGGGUGAUGAGACCAGACAGACUACAGGUUCUACCAGGGUGAUGAGACCAGACAGACUACAGGUUCUAUCGGGGUGAUGAGACCAGACAGACUACAGGUUCUACCAGGGUGAUGAGACCAGACAGACUACAGGCUCUACCGGGGUGAUGAGACCAGACAGACUACAGGUUCUACCGGGGUGAUGAGACCAGACAGACUACAGGUUCUACCAGGGUGAUGAGACCAGACAGACUACAGAUUCUACCAGGGUGAUGAGACCAGACAGACUACAGGUUUUAUCAGGGUGAUGCGACCAGACAGAGUACAGGUUCUAUCGGGGUGAUGAGGCCAGACAGACUACAGGUUCUAUCAGGGUGAUGAGACCAGACAGACUACAGGUUCUACCAGGGUGAUGAGACCAGACAGACUACAGGUUCUACCAGGGUGAUGAGACCAGACAGACUACAGGUUCUACCAGGGUGAUGACACCAGACAGACUACAGGUUCUAUCGGGGUGAUGAGACCAGACAGACUACAGGUUCUAUCGGGGUGAUGAGACCAGACAGACUACAGGUUCUAUCAGGGUGAUGAGACCAGACAGACUACAGGUUCUACCGGGGUGAUGAGACCAGACAGACUACAGGUUCUACCGGGGUGAUGAGACCAGACAGACUACAGGUUCUACCGGGGUGAUGAGACCAGACAGACUACAGGUUCUACCAGGGUGAUGAGACCAGACAGACUACAGGUUCUACCGGGGUGAUGAGACCAGACAGACUACAGGUUCUACCGGGGUGAUGAGACCAGACAGACUACAGGUUCUACCGGGGUGAUGAGACCAGACAGACUACAGGUUCUACCAGGGUGAUGAGACCAGACAGACUACAGGUUCUAUCAGGGUGAUGAGACCAGACAGACUACAGGUUCUACCAGGGUGAUGAGACCAGACAGACUACAGGUUCUACCAGGGUGAUGAGACCAGACAGACUACAGGUUCUACCAGGGUGAUGAGACCAGACAGACUACAGGUUCUACCGGGGUGAUGAGACCAGACAGACUACAUGUUCCCUCUUAUGGAUGCAAGGCACCAGGACCAUCCACCACUUAGUUAAAGCACCACUCUGGGCUUAGUGUUCACAACGACACUCAAAGACGGAUCCACUGACGUCUUGGAACCACCCGUGUUUUUUGAGCCACUUUAUCAGAGUCAAAUGACAGAGACAUUGAGUCUAAAACAUUAGUGUUUCUGAGCCACCUACAUAUUCAUCAAUAUAUUUAUUUACUGUAUGUUGCAACACCACUUAGUUGACACCCACUGGGCAAAAAGUGGUUGAAUCAAUGUUGUUUCCACGUAAUUUCAACCUGAAAAAUGUUUAUGUGAUGACGUUCAAACACUGUGGAAAACCGAUUGGUUUUGCAAAAAGCCAUUAUAAGGGAAUUGUGUCUUUUUCUCCAAAAAUGUUUACCUAAAUCCAAUGACAUAGACCAUUUUUUUGUGUUAAUUUUACAUUUAUUUCAAGUUAGUUUACAACUCAACCAAAUGUAAAUCAAAACCAAACGUUAAACUUGUCUGUGUCCAGUGGGCAGUGAUUGCUGUGAAUGAAGCCUCAUUGGAUAAUCAGACCUAAACUCUCUGCUGGAAGUGUAGUCUGUAGGGAAUGGCCCCGUCUCAAUCUGGCUCCAUCUGUUUAUUCAGAAGAAAUGAGGCCGGGGUCAAUUUAGGCAGCAUUUAUGCUGACACACCCUGACACUCUUCGGCUACAGAAUUACCCUCAUGCUCUAGGACAGCGAUUCUCAACUGGUGGGUCGCAACCAAAAUUUGGGUCAAGGGAGGUUUUGAUUGGGUCAUGGGAGGUUUUGAUUGGGUCAUGGGAGGUUUUGAUUGGGUCAUGGGAGGUUUUGAUUGGGUCAUGGGAGGUUUUGAUUGGGUCAUGGGAGGUUUUGAUUGGGUCAUGGGAGGUUUUGAUUGGGUCAUGGGAGGUUUUGAUUGGGUCAUGGGAGGUUUUGAUUGGGUCAAGGGAGGUUUUGAUUGGGUCAAGGGAGGUUUUGAUUGGGUCAUGGGAGGUUUUGAUUGGGUCAUGGGAGGUUUUGAUUGGGUCAUGGGAGGUUUUGAUUGGGUCAUGGGAGUAUAAAAUAUAAUAAUAAGGUAUGAAGAAAUACUCUGAACUCAAAUAACUUAAAACAAGGAGAAAGUGUGUAGACGUGAUAACACAUAUUUUUAUGAGUAAUUUAAUUUCUGAAAAUGUUUUCUUCAAUCACAGUAUUUCCAAUAUAGAGCUAUUAGCAGUGCUAUGUUUGUUGAUUUUGUGGUCUCAAGCCAAUGAGUUUAUUAACAUUCUUCAUAAGGGCAAAAUGGUAUUAUUGACAAUGAAAGAGUUGGGAAUGUUGUUCCCUUGUCAUAUAAUUGCUACAUUUACUAUCAAUAUAGCAUUUGAAAAUACAAAUAUCGUUUUCCAGAUUGUAUUUUAACGAUUAUUUUUCGCGAUGCGAAUAUUGCGGCGCGACUGAGACGACCUGGUUCAAUUUGGGCCCCGAGGCAAAACCAGUUGAGAACCACUGUUGUAGGGUACUGUACAAAUGAAUUUCCUUGUGACUGUAUGGUUUACUUGACUAGUUUUGACUGGAGAAUAUUCCUGGGUAGUUAGUAAGCAACUCCAGUGUAUAUUUAGCCUUGUGUUUUAGGUUUAUUGUCCUGCUGAAAGGUUCAUUAAUUUCCCAGUGUCUGGUGGAAAGCAGACUGAACCUCGUUUUCCUCUAGGCUUUUGCCUGUGUUUAGCGCCAGUUACAUUUUUUUAUCCUGAAAAACUUCCCAGUUCUUAACAAUUACAAGCAUACCCAUAACAUGAUGCAGCCACCAGUAUGCUUGAAAAUAUGGAGAGUAGUACUCAGUAAUGUGUUCUCUUGUAUUUUCCCCAAACAUAACACUGUGUAUUUAGGACGAAAAGUGAAUCGCUUUGCCACAUUGUAUUGAAGUAUUACUUUAGUGCCUUGUUGCAUACAGAUGAAUGUUUUGGAAUAGAUAUAUUCUGUACAGGCAUUAUUUUUUUCACACUGUCAUUUAGAUCGGUAUUGUGGAGUAACUACAAAUGUUGUGUAUCCAUCCUCAGUUUUCUCCCAUCACAACCAUUCAACUCUGUAGCUGUUUUAAAGUCACAAUGGGGCCUCAUGGUGAAAUCCCUGAGCGGUUUCCUUCCUUUCUGUCAACUGAGUUAGGAAGGACUCCUGUACCUUUGUAGUAUCAAUAGGUGCCCUUCUUUGUGAGGCAUUGGAAAAUCUCCCUGGUCCUUGUGGUUGAAUCUGUGUUUGAAAUUCACUGCUCGACUGACUUUACAGAUAAUUGUUUGUGUGGUGUACAGAGAUGAGGUAGUCAUUCCAAAAUAUAUUAUUAUUGCACACAGAGUUGAGUCCGUGCAACUUAUUAUGUGACUUGUUAAGAAACUGUUUUACUCCUGAACCUAUUCAGGCUUGUCAUGACAAAAGGGCUGAAUACUGACUCAAGACUUUUCAUCUUUUCAUUUUUAAUUCAUUUGUAAACAAAAAUAGAAAAACACAAUUCCACUUUGACAUUAUGGGGUAUUGUGUGUAGACCAGUACACUUUGACAUUAUGGGGUAUUGUGUGUAGACCAGUGCACUUUGACAUUAUGGGGUAUUGUGUGUAGACCAGUACACUUUGACAUUAUGGGGUAUUGUGUGUAGACCAGUGCACUUUGACAUUAUGGGGUAUUGUGUGUAGACCAGUGCACUUUGACAUUAUGGGGUAUUGUGUGUAGACCAGUGCACUUUGACAUUAUGGGGUAUUGUGUGUAGACCAGUGCACUUUGACAUUAUGGGGUAUUGUGUGUAGACCAGUACACUUUGACAUUAUGGGGUAUUGUGUGUAGACCAGUACACUUUGACAUUAUGGGGUAUUGUGUGUAGACCAGUGCACUUUGACAUUAUGGGG